AACCACUCAUACUGAUUCUCUUUUAGUCUAUCCAUAAAAGCAGAUUCAGUUUCAGUUGUAUCCAGGAACUUGCAUAAUCUGCUUAUGUUAUGCUUAUACUUGCUUUUUUACCUUGAAAGUAGUCUUAAAAAAGGAAAUUGUAACAGAUGUUUGUUGGACCUCUAUUAGUCAAUGAUAUCAGUCAUUGGUGUCCCCCAGCCCAUCCCCGAUGUUGUGUGCAGAGCAAUCAUGUCAUUCUAUUAAGUCUCAACUAUUCUUUUUGUAACUUGUCUUCCUUUACAAAGGCACUGCAGAGGCUAAGAAGACGCAUGGAAACUCUAAAGAAUCAUCAUUCAACUUGUGAGGCCAGAUUUGAAAAGGAAAUUAUAAAUCCAGAAGCUCAGAUGUCAGACACUGAGGUUGCCAGUACCUCUGAGGCUGCCAGUACCGCUGGGUCGAUAGUCCAUGUGUUGGAUGAUGCACCGCCAUUGAUCAGAACAGACAGCAUAUUCUUGACCAAAGCUAUGCUUGGAUACAAGACUGAUGACUCAAUAACCAGCAUUGACAACAGUGAAGAUGAUUAUGUCCCAAGGUCAUCAGAGGAAGACGAUUCCGAUGAAUUUUCAGAACCAAAGACAAGGGUGGACAGCAGUAAACACGAUGAUCUAGUCUCGGAGGGAUACAGUUCAGAUAAAUUAGCGGGUGUCAAGAGAAAGAAGCAAUACAAGAAGACUAUCAAGAGAUGCAGAAGUUCCUCAGAAGAAAACAGCUCAAAUGGAGAAUCAGAACUCAAGAGAAUGAAGCGAUACGAAAAUACUUAUAAGAGAUGUACUAGUUCCCCAAAGUCGAACACUAGCAGUGAAUCAUUGCUUGUAAUGAAUGUCUCAG